ACGGGUGAGUAACGCGUGAGUAACCUGCCUUCAAGAGGGGGAUAACAUUCUGAAAAGAAUGCUAAUACCGCAUGACAUAUCGGAACCACAUGGUUUUGAUAUCAAAGAUUUUAUCGCUUGAAGAUGGACUCGCGUCCGAUUAGUUAGUUGGUGAGGUAACGGCUCACCAAGACCGCGAUCGGUAGCCGGACUGAGAGGUUGAACGGCCACAUUGGGACUGAGACACGGCCCAAACUCCUACGGGAGGCAGCAUG
rnacentral:rRNA from 1 species